AUUGAGAAUGACAAGGUGGCACAGUUGGCAGAGCCGCUGCCUCUCAGUGGCAGAGACCCGAGUUCGAUCAUGACCCUGGGUGCUGUCAGUAUGGAGUUUGCACAC